rnacentral:rRNA from 1 species
UACGUAGGGUGCGAGCGUUGCCCGGAUUUAUUGGGCGUAAAGGGCGCGUAGGCGGCUCUGCACGUCCGUUGUGAAAUCGCCCGGCUCAACUGGGCGGGGUCAGCGGAUACGGCGGAGCUUGAGCAAGCUAGGGGGCAAUGGAAUUCCCGGUGUAGUGGUGGAAUGCGUAGAUAUCGGGAGGAACACCAGUGGCGAAGGCGAUCACCUGGGGUUGUUCUGACGCUGAGGAGCGAAAGCUAGGGGAGCAAACAGG